UAAAGGAUUAGGAGCUGAAGUCACCAGGAGUCUGGGGAAGGAAGAAGCCAGUGCUGGAUCAAGACAAAACACCGUCCUGGGCUGUGGGCAUGGCAGAGAAGCAGCCAAGGAUGGCUGCAGCUCAAAGCAGGAGGUUUUCCUGGGACUGGGGAGACAGAAAACCCCAAAGAGCACGAGUGCUGUGAGCUGGGAGUGCCUGGUGUGCCAGUGUCCCUCUGGGCCAGGAGGGGAAGGGCUGCUCUACUGACAAGGCUGAUCUGACACCCGUGCAGUCAGUCACUCAGAAAUGAUACACAGAGCCUGCUCAGGCACUGUGCCUCACUCAGCUCCUCAGGAUCAAUACCUGGAGAGGAGUCAGCUAUUGACCUGGCUUUUGAGCAAAACUCCACAGGAAUUAUGAAUCCAUGCACACUGAGGUCUUCUCAAUGAACCAAGCUUAGGAUACAGCUGGAACCAUCAAUACCCUUUCAUCCUUCAAAGCAAAGUUUGUGCUAGGAGAAAAGAAAUGAGAUUAUUUCCACAGCCAAGGUGUCAUCUUCCCUUUUCAGUGGGAGACUGCCAGCACUUCCACAAAAUAAGCAAAGCCCAGCAACACUUCAGUUACUCUCCCUCAACAAUCCAAAGAAAAUGUGCCACUGAAAAACUCAAUUCAAACAGCUUUAGGGUUACAAGGCUUGCCUUGUUCAACCACAGGUCUCAAAAUACUCCACAGAUGUGCUUCUCUCAUGCACUCCAAACAUUCCUAGUUCCUCUGGUGCACUCCACUGCUUCCCUGUCUUUUGCUCCAGACUGAGGAGGAAGAGGAAGAGGCUCCUUGCACAGGCCAUUGGAAGCAGCAGUGUGGGGAGCUGUUGGCCUGGAGAGCUGAUUGUGGAAGGGCCAGGAUGAAGGAGCUUUGCUUUGCAUUCCUGUUCCCAACACAGCCUCUGCAGAGCACAGAAAAACCACCAAGCUCCUCCCCAGCCAGGCAAGCAGAAUGGGGAAGACAGCACAUCCCACCCAGGUGACAUGGAGAAGCUGCACAGACAAAUCACUGGAAACCCAAAGAAUUAAUCAGAAGGACUGGUGUGAAAGCUAAACUUGGUCAAAACCACGACUGUUAAUGGGAAACAACAAAAUGCUCCCACGGAAUGGAAGUUUUAUCCCAUGGAAAGAGAACA